UACGUAGGGUGCGAGCGUUAAUCGGAAUUACUGGGCGUAAAGCGUGCGCAGGCGGUUCGUUAAGUCAGCUGUGAAAGCCCCGGGCUCAACCUGGGAACUGCGGUUGAAACUGGCGAACUAGAAUCUGGCAGAGGGGGGUGGAAUUCCACGUGUAGCAGUGAAAUGCGUAGAUAUGCGGAGGAACACCGAUGGCGAAGGCAAUCCCCUGGGCCUGCACUGACGCUCAUGCACGAAAGCGUGGGGAGCAAACAGG
rnacentral:rRNA from 1 species